AACGAAGCGCUUUGCCGGAACCCCUUCGGGGAGGAAGGCGUUGCGACUGAGUGGCGGACGGGUGAGUAACGCGUGGGCAACCUGCCCCAUACAGGGGGAUAACAGUUAGAAAUGACUGCUAACACCGCAUAAGCGCACAGGGUCGCAUGGCCCGGUGUGAAAAACUCCGGUGGUAUGGGAUGGGCCCGCGUCUGAUUAGCCAGUUGGCGGGGUAACGGCCCACCAAAGCGACGAUCAGUAGCCGACCUGAGAGGGUGACCGGCCACAUUGGGACUGAGACACGGCCCAAACUCCUACGGGAGGCAGCAGUGGGGAAUAUUGCACAAUGGGGGGAACCCUGAUGCAGCGACGCCGCGUGAGCGAAGAAGUAUCUCGGUAUGUAAAGCUCUAUCAGCAGGGAAGAAAAAUGACGGUACCUGACUAAGAAGCCCCGGCUAACUACGUGCCAGCAGCCGCGGUAAUACGUAGGGGGCAAGCGUUAUCCGGAUUUACUGGGUGUAAAGGGAGCGCAGGCGGCGCGGCAAGUCUGAUGUGAAAGCCCGGGGCUCAACCCCGGGACUGCAUUGGAAACUGUCGCGCUCGAGUGUCGGAGAGGUAAGUGGAAUUCCUAGUGUAGCGGUGAAGUGCGUAGAUAUUAGGAGGAACACCAGUGGCGAAGGCGGCUUACUGGACG
rnacentral:rRNA from 1 species